UAGGGAAUCUUCCGCAAUGGACGCAAGUCUGACGGAGCAACGCCGCGUGAGUGAAGAAGGAUUUCGGUUCGUAAAACUCUGUUGUUAGAGAAGAACAGCGCAUAGAGUAACUGUUAUGCGUGUGACGGUAUCUAACCAGAAAGCCACGGCUAACUACGUGCCAGCAGCCGCGGUAAUACGUAGGUGGCAAGCGUUGUCCGGAUUUAUUGGGCGUAAAGGGUACGCAGGCGGUUUAAUAAGUCGAAUGUUAAAGAUCGGGGCUCAACCCCGUAAAGCAUUGGAAACUGAUAAACUUGAGUAGUGGAGAGGAAAGUGGAAUUCCUAGUGUAGUGGUGAAAUACGUAGAUAUUAGGAGGAAUACCGGUGGCGAAGGCGACUUGCUGGACUUCAACUGACGCUGAGGAACGAAAGCGUGGGUAGCAAACAGG
rnacentral:rRNA from 1 species